rnacentral:lncRNA from 1 species
UUGUUUACAUGCUAGCAAGGAAACAUGUUGUUCAUGAGCAAUUAGAAGGUGAAUUCUCUUCCCUAUCGCUCACAAAAUGUACUUCCUCUAUUGUCAGGACACAGUGAUUUGGAGAGAAGCCUCAGGCGCACUCUUCCGUUUCCAAGGAUGCAUGCAGUAUGAGGACAUUCAGACAGUCUGUCCUCAGCUUGGCCUUCGCAGUACGGUUCCAGCUCUGACUCAAGAAGCAGCAGGAUCUAUGAGCUCUGACUGAGCAAGGAAGCAUUGCCCUGCAGCUGGCGUUUUGCACGCUGCAUGUUCAAGGAAGGUAAAGAAAUGUCUUUUUCAAAGCCUGGUAAAUGUCUCGGAACCUAUCAGUCAUACUCUCUUUAAUGUGGAGGAACAGGAUGUGACAGUUGGUGUACUGGUGAGACCAGAUAUAUCAGCACUCAGGCCUGGGUGUAGUAUAUGAGUCCUCUGCACAGAGGAAGACAAUACAC